rnacentral:lncRNA from 1 species
CUUUAUACAACAUGCUUCUAAUUGAUCAGACAAUUCCCUAAUCAUUUGGCUAAACAUUUAAAACAUUUAAGGUGAUUUUUAUAAAAAAUAAGAGACUUUUCACGACUAUUUACUGAUUGAAGCGAUGAUUGGAUUUUGAUUGGUCUACCAACAUGGACUAAGAAUCUUGACUCAAAUUAAAAAACCACAAUCUCAUAAAAAACCUCAUAAUCCUUUAGUUGUU